rnacentral:rRNA from 1 species
UAUGCUUCUCCUAAAGACUAAGCCAUGCAUGCCUCCGAAUAGGAGAAAGCAAAUCUCUCUGAAUCUGCGAACGGCUCCAUAAACCAGUUGUAAACUAUAGCAAGCAAGUCCAGGGACGUGGCCCUUCAAAAGGCUCGGCCCUGGGCGAUAUGGAUAACCCUGGUAAUUCUGAGGCUAAUACAUGACUGCAAUCCCUGGCCAACCGGGACACCUGCUCUCUUCGGAGUCAAGGUCCUGGAAGACUGGGGGGCGUGCGAUUUGAGGCUUGAGAAGAACCAGGAAAGGACGCACACUCGAACCGCGUUACAAAGGACCGGGUUCCACGACCUCCCCCUCCGACACCCCCCUCCCAUUCGUGGGUCCGGGGUAAAGGGGGUGGGGUCGAGUUCCUUGCCCCAGCGGCUCUUGCUGUGUGCUCCUGACCUAUCAACUAGACGGCAGCGUAACGGACAUGCUAUGGUUACAACGGGUACAGAGGAUUAGGGUUCGAUCCUGGAGAGUGGGCCUGAGAGAUUGCUCAUACUUCUAAGGAAGGCAGCAGGCGCGCAACGUUCCCAUUGGGCGAUGCCCGAGGGCGUUAGAGGACAUAUGAAUGCCUGCCCAUUGGGUGGGCAAUUCAAAUGGGUCUGUUCUAAACAGGCUCUCGAGUAACAAUUAGAGGA